rnacentral:rRNA from 1 species
CGUUAGAGGAAGUAAAAGUCGUAACAAGGUCUCCGUUGGUGAACCAGCGGAGGGAUCAUUACUGAGUUACCGCUCUAUAACCCUUUGUGAACAUACCUACAACUGUUGCUUUCGGCGGGUAGGCCGUCCCCUGAAAAGGACGCCUCCCGGCCCGGACCGGACCCCCCGCGGGACCGGACCCGGCGCCCGCCGGAGGAUAACCAAACUCUAUUGUAACGACGUUUCUUCUGAGUGGCAUAAGCAAAAUAAUCAAAACUUUUAACAACGGAUCUCUUGGUUCUGGCAUCGAUGAAGAACGCAGCGAAAUGCGAUAAGUAAUGUGAAUUGCAGAAUUCAGUGAAUCAUCGAAUCUUUGAACGCACAUUGCGCCCGCCAGCAUUCUGGCGGGCAUGCCUGUUCGAGCGUCAUUUCAACCCUCAAGCUCUGCUUGGUGUUGGGGCUCUACGGUCGACGUAGGCCCUCAAAGGUAGUGGCGGACCCUCCCGGAGCCUCCUUUGCGUAGUAACAUUUCGUCUCGCACUGGGAUCCGGAGGGACUCUUGCCGUAAAACCCCCCAAUUUUCCAAAGGUUGACCUCGGAUCAGGUAGGAAUACCCGCUGAACUUAAGCAUA